ensembl:lncRNA
AAUUUACAUUACAUUUGUUAUACAUUUUUAUAAAUUAGCAUGAUAGGAGGCUUUGGAAAUUUAAUUUAAUUUAAUUUCUCUUAAUUUAUCUUAAAUUUAAUUUAAUUUAUCUUUAAUUUUCUCCCCUAUUGAAAAAAUAAAGUGUACCCCAAGAUUUCAGCAAAGCCAAGAAGUUUAGAAAAUGGAAAAGCCUUUCCAAAAUUGAUUUUUUGGGGGUAUUAUUAUUUAUGAUUAUUAUUUUUUACAGCAAUGCUUUGCAUCAAAUAAUUACAUUUUAAAUCAUUUUCGGUUGUGUGGGAAGAGCAGGGUGGAAAAUGGGAUUUUUUUAUUGAUUUCUAUUAAUUAAUCCUCAUCAGAGAUAAGAAAUAACAGCUUUAUUUGGCAUUGGAGACAGCAAAUAAUAACUCCUAAACAGCAGCUCAGCAGGACACACAAACAUCUCCAACCAUGGGACAAUUCCCUGGAAAAUUGGCUCAUUUUGAUUUUAUUUUUAACCAGGAUCUUCCAAAUUAUCAAAUUUCCAUGGAUAAAGCCCACAAAAGCGAUGGAACUGGGAUAUUCCUCAAGGAUAAAGGGAUUUAGAGUGUCAGGAAAAGUCCUUGGAAGGAGAGGAAUGGUUUUUUAAGUGCCUGGAGGAAAAACCAGUAGGAAACAAACCAGGAUCCUUUAUUUUUCCACAAAACAACCCCUGCCUUACAAGCACGGCUGUAAUUGUAUCUUGAACAUGCAGUGCAAACAAAAACUCGUUAACACCUGCACUAAUGAAUCCCAGGAAGGCUCUGGAGUAUUCCAGCUGCACUUGGAAAGACACGGAUCCUGCUCCUCGUUGAUUUGUGUCACACAACCAGGACAAACCCUCUGGAUCACACAGGGACUCCUCAUCCACCCAGAGAUCCAAGAGGAGAAACGAUCUCCCAGCUUAAGGAAACUCCUCAAAAGGAACAAAGAUUUUCCAUCCUCUGGAAUAACUGGGAUGAGGAAUUACUUCACAAAGACACAAACGGGCAGAAUUCAAAGGGAAAAUAAAGAAGCUCCUUUGUGUGUCCAGAUGUUUCUGCAGCUGCAGAGUCCUAGGAGAUGCUCCUUGUCCUGCUAAAGAGGACAAGGAAUUCAGGACAAAAACCUGGAUCCAGGGAAGAGCUGGUGCUGUGCCUGCUGCCCAUGUUUUAUUGUUAGGAGUGGAGCUGGCCUGGAUUUCUCCUGCUCCUCAUGGCAGCUCCCAGAGGUCUCCCACAGCAGAGGGAAAAUCUCCAUGGACCUGCCGGAGUGGGGACACCACGACAGGAGGUGCUGGAGUGGGAUUAACAACAGGAGAACCUCCUGGAGAUGGGAUUUGUUCACAGGAGGCUGCAGCUCCCAACAAAAUUCCUGAGUGGUUCUGGAAAGCAAAGUCAGGUUCACAGAACACCUUCAAACAAACCCUGAGGAGGUAAAAACAGAGCUCUUAUGCUUUUUGGCUUCCAUCCCUUCCUUUUUCUGCCUCUUUUCCCGGUUCUCAGGUGUUUCUGGGCAUUGUCCAGCAAUUCAUUCCUCACAUCUGUUCAUGGUUCAUCCAUGUUCCUUCCUUUUCCUCUUGCACUCCCUUCCCUUUUUAUAUUUUGCUCCAUUUUCCCCCUCAGUUUCUGAUUCUGCUUCCAGCUGAUUCCCUUUUUUACUCUAUAUUGAUUAUUUUUUUCCCUAGGCUUGCUCUAUCCAGGAUUUGGUAUCGAUUUCCAUGGAGUUCCCUCCUCUUCUGGAAUUGUUUGCUCCCUCUUCCCCAGAAGUCAGCUUUUCAAAUUCCUUAGAAACACCA